GUUGAGCCUGGCGUAGAGCACAUCGUCCAGGUCCCAGGCCAGCAGGCGCCGCAGCAACACGAGCGACUCGUCGAAGUACUCGGCGAUCAUGACGAGAGAGAAGACUUCCUCCACCUGGCGGAUGAGGCCCGCCAGGAUAACUCAUGCAGGGGGUGAGGAGGUCCCAGGUGGCAAGUCCCCAAGGAAACGGGCCCUCAGUCCGUCAGCCUGCUGGAAGAGCUGAAGGCUCCCAACAACCACAUGAAUGAGCUUGUAAGGGGAGCCCUUCCAAUCAAAACUUCAGAUGAGACUGCAUUCCCAGCAGCCAGCUUGAUUGCAGCUCCAUGAGAGACCUUGAGCCAGAGGUACCCAGCUAAACCACACCUGGAUUCCUGACCUACCAAAAUGAGAUAAUGAAUGUUUGAUGUUUUGAGCUGCCGAGGUUUUGAGAUGAUUUAAUUAUACAUAAAAGGUAAUACAAGGACAAAGGCCCUUGGAGAUCCUUGAAGAAUUCCACUUUACAGAUGUACAAAGGAGCAGAAGGAGAAAAUGACUUCCAUCAGUCUGGCAACUCAGAUAAAGUCGCCAAAAGUCUUGC